rnacentral:rRNA from 1 species
AACGUAGGUGGCAAGCGUUAUCCGGAUUCACUGGGCGUAAAGCGCACGCAGGCGGCGCGGUUGGUAGGGCAUGAAACCUCCCGGCUUAACUGGGAGACGCUGUCCUAUACCGCCGCGCUUGAGGCUGGAAGAGGGAAGUGGAAUUGCCGGUGUAGUGGUGAAAUGCGUAGAGAUCGGCAGGAACACCAGUGGCGAAGGCGGCUGCCUGGGCCUGGCCUGACGCUGAGGCGCGAAAGCGUGGGGAGCAAUCCGG